UGUGUAUCAGUACAUCGGCAUAUCAAUAAGCGGAGGAAAAGAAACUAACUAGGAUUCCCUCAGUAACGGCGAGUGAAGCGGGAAGAGCUCAAAUUUGAAAUCUUCAAGGUUCUACCUUGACGAAUUGUAGUUUAAAGAAGUGUUUUCUGUUGGAGUUUUGGUAAAAGUUCUUUGGAAUAGGACAUCAUAGAGGGUGAGAAUCCCGUAUUUGACCAUUAUUUCCAACUUUGUGAUACACUUUCAAAGAGUCGGAUUGUUUGGGAAUGCAGUCCAAAAUGGGUGGUAAAUUUCAUCUAAAGCUAAAUACUGGCGAGAGACCGAUAGCGAACAAGUACCGUGAGGGAAAGAUGAAAAGAACUUUGAAAAGGAGAGUUAAACAGUACGUGAAAUUGUCAAAAGGGAAGCGUUUGACACCAGUGUUGUUUUCUCGAAAAUCAAUUAAAAAUGGUGGGAUGUUGUGUUGUAUUGACUUUAUCAGCUUUCUGCACUUUUUUCCUAUCUUUUUUAAUGCACUUUUCGUUUAACAAGUCAACAUCAAUUUCUUUUGUUGCUAAAGAGGUCAUUGGAAGGUGGCUUUUCUUUCGGAAAAAGUGUUUAUAGCCUUUGACUUCUGCAAUCGGAGAGAUUGAGGUCUGCAGCGUAGAUCCUUCGGGGUUAGAUACAUUUGUGCUAAGUUAUAGCUUUUCAUAGACAACAUGUUGACUAUGAUUAAGUCAUGUAGCUUACUCGCUUAUGCUAUUUUACCUACGCUUAGGAUGUUGAUAGUCACAGCGUGUAC
rnacentral:rRNA from 1 species